AUUUUACGAAUUAUUAGUAUAAAUGUAUAUUUAAAGUAUUAAAAAAUUUAUUAAAAAUUUAGAAAAAUUGAUUUUUAUGAUAGAAAAUUAGUACAGUGAUGGAAAUUUUAUUUAAAUUUAAAAAAGAAAAAUAAUUUUUGUACCUUGUGUAUCAGGGUCUAUUAAAUAAAAAUUAUUUAAAAUUAAUUUUCUCGAAUUAAAAAGAGUUAAUAAAUUAAAUAUUUUAUUGUUGAAUAAAUAUUUAAAAUAAUUUAUUAGAAAUGAAAUGUUAAUCGUUUUUUAAUAUAUCUAGUUUUUUUAGAAAAAAAUUGAAUUUUAAUCAAUAAUUAAUUUUUUUUAAAUAUAAAAUAAGUUUUAAUUAUUGAGUAAUAUAUUUUGGGAUAAGCUAAAAUAUAAAUUUUUAUAAGUUAUAAUUAAAUUUUAAAAUAAUAAUAGGAUUAGAAAUUUUUAUUUUUUAUAGUAUUUUAUAAUUAAUUUAUUAAAAAAUUUAAUUUUUAUUUAUUUUAAGUAUUUUAUAAAAAUAAAUUAUAUAAUAAAAUUUUAAUUAAAAUAAUGAUAGAAUUAGUAUAAAUUUAUAAAUAUAUAAAUUAUAUUUGAAAGGUUAAAUAAAGGAAUUCGGCAAAAGUAUUUUUCGCCUGUUUAUUAAAAACAUGUCUUUUUGAUAAUAAUUUAAAGUCUGAUCUGCCCACUGAAAAUUUAAAUGGCUGCAGUAUUUUGACUGUACAAAGGUAGCAUAAUAAUUAGUUUUUUAAUUGAAAGCUUGUAUGAAUGAUUUGACGAGAAAAUAACUGUCUCUAUUUAAUUUUAUUAGAAUUUUAUUUUUAAAUUAAAAAGUUUAAAUAAAAUUUAAAGACGAGAAGACCCUAUAGAGUUUUAUAUAUAAAUAUAUAAAUAAUUUUUUAGAAAUAAAAUAAUUUUUAUUUAAAUAUAUAAUUUGUUGGGGUGAUAUAAAAAUAUAAUAAACUUUUUAUAAAUUUUAACAUUGAUAUAUGAAUAAAUGAUCCAUAAUUUAUGAUUAAAAGAUUAAAUUACCUUAGGGAUAACAGCGUAAUUUUUUUUGAGAGUUCUUAUCGAAAAAAAAGUUUGCGACCUCGAUGUUGGAUUAAAAUUAAAAAUUAGUGUAGAAGCUAAUUGAUUAGGUCUGUUCGACCUUUAAAAUUUUACAUGAUCUGAGUUUAAACCGGUGUAAGCCAGGUUGGUUUCUAUCUUAAAUAAUCUUAAAUAUUUUAGUACGAAAGGACCAAAUAUUAAUAAAAUUUAUUUAAUAAUGAAU
rnacentral:rRNA from 1 species